AGAAUUCGUUUUAACGGUGUUCGUGCAGAUCGUGCUAAGAUUUCCUUUCGCUGUAGGUGUCACUAUGCAGUAGUACUACUGUAAUUUUCGUGGCCUCUUUGAUGAACUUUCAGCUUGGCUAGUUGUUUCCGUCUUCUUCUGCUAUACUGAUGUGCUAAAGUCAGCAACAUGCCGUCGUCGCGCCAACGAAUAUCAAAUCUGGGCCCACUUAAUUAAGGAUGAAGAAAAUAAAUCCUCACUGAGAGUCGAGAGACAAUGAAGAAUGUGGCGUACUGUUCACAGCUCCGGUUUCAGAACAGAGCCAAAACCGAUUUUCAGUCUGGGCGGUUAAACAUAAAAUCGCAGUAAAAAUCGUGAUUCCGCAGGCCACCGUUGAAAAGCAUCGCAGCCCAUCAUGGCUGUAUCCUAUCUGCUUAAGCGUCAAGCGGCCAACAAAUUCAGGCAAAACGUGUACGCGAAUCACCAAGUUCACAAAUGCGCGACCUUGCUUGUUGAAAGUUAUAAUGAUCUUGCAGACACCUAAAGGCAUGACAAGAAGCUUCCUACAUACAUGCAUUUCAGGGCUUAGUGGUUAUUCGUGAGUCUUACCAUUUUUACCGACAUUCAACGUAGAAUUAAGCUAACAUUGAGCUCGGUGCUCUUUUGACUGAAAUUAGCGUUGAUUUCCUACUUAAACUUCAGUUAAAAAAAGUCUGCCUUAAAAACAGAGUGCAACUACGUGAUCUGUGUCCCGACUCGGUUAAGCUUUCGGUGCUAUCCAUAAUAAAUUAAUCAAAAAACGGGCGAGCGUCGAAAGCGAAUCAUCAAAAGAGUUAAACUUUCUCAGAGGAGAGCCGGCUAUACGGAUUAAUAAUGUACUUGCACAUGUUGAAAUACAUUAACACCACCGAUGUAAAACAGCACAAACGGUCUUAAAAGGGAACCUAAAAAUUUAAUUUAUCGGUAUGGUCGAGACUUUCAUGUGUCGUACAGAAUGUUUACUCAACCAUGGUAUCCUCACAGUUAUCACAUGACGGCAUCGCCUUAAAGCCGCACAGUUUUUAUCAUUGUAGUAGAUCCAGUGCAGGAUUCUCAAAGAGUUAUUAUUAAUAGUAUUGUUGCUCUUAUGCUAAAGAUUUUGAUGGUAAUUUAAAACGAAACGUUAGCCUUAGGCAACACCAAUAAAUAAGUUCCGUAAAUAUUAUUUUAACAAACAUGUCUCACACAAGGUAUCUUCGUUGUUAAAGAAAUUCAUCCUACUAUGCGAAGGACCCUCUAUAGGCAUAAGCAGAGAUUUCAGAGAAAAUGAAUUUCCGCUCCAACCGAAUUGAGCAUGAAAUCACUAAAAACAUUUACAUAAUCGUUCUGCUAGUACACCUAACUACCUAAUAAGGUCUAGAAUGAAAAUGCUGUUCGUAAACAUGUCAUGAACUGAAUAUUCGUGAAGCCUUACCAAUGAAGCAAUCGUUACACUAUAACUAACUUAUUUAACUUUGUGUCUGAAAGUAAUUAUCUGAAAUGGACCAUAGAACUGUGGGCGCAUUGAGUAGGACAAACUACUAUAAGAAGCUAACUUCAAAUAAAUUUAAUUUAGUGUAUCGUUGCAAUAUAAAGACCUACUGCGACGUGAGCAAAAAAUCUAUCUCAAUAUUAUUAUUAAAUAGUUUUAGUUUAUGAACAGUGUCUCUGAUUCUUAUGUAGCGGGUAUGUAUCUGACUGUUUUUUAGGUAAAGGUUUUUUGGAAGGCUAAUUUUAAAAGUGGCCGAAGGAACGUGUCACCAAAACAGCAUUUCGAUUAAGGUAUUUUCUAUAUUUGACAGGAAUAUAAAAUAGUACUAUACAGGAUACAAGCGGAAUCUACUAGUUUAUGCUAAUACUUGUGUAUUCUCAACGCCAUUCGAAUGUCCAUCUUCAUUGGUAAUAUAAUAUUGAAAAUAACUAAUUUAACAACAACAGUGGAAAUACGUUUUUGAAUGCUACUUGCUAGCUGUUGCUGGCGCCAAUUUGAAAUGUACAUAUGCAUAUAUUAAAUUGAGAACAAGCUCAGAAACAAAUUAUAUUCAAGUACAAACAUUGCAGAAUUACUUUCACCGUUAUUCGAACAGAACAUCAAUUGUAAGGAAACCAUUCUUAUAAUUAAACAGCAACAAAAAAUGUUGUCAUAUAUCUAUUGUAUCUAAAUCCAUUGUACAGUUGCAAUGAAGUUCACCGUUAAGCUAAGUUAUAUAACCUGUGAAGGUUUGUGGCUCAAUCGACAUGGUAUGGAAGAAUCGGACACCAUAAUCGUCUGAUAGAUGUUAUUAAUGUAAAAAAAUAGUUAAAAUUGGUUAGCGUUAUCAUUCAUUUUCCAUAAAGAUGGGACAUUCUAUCAUGCUAGCACGGGGAUAUUUCGCGACAUUAUUUUCCUCUUAGUCAAAAAUAGCAACUUUUAUUGGCGAAAUAGUAUCGAAGAGUAAACUAGCGGUAGAUUCGUCUCCUUUUUUCAUUCACGUACAAUGACUAAUCAUUUUAUAAGUUGUUUUUAUUGGUGCGUCUACAACAUAUGGCUUAUAGGUUCUAAGAACCUGAUCUGAAACAUGUUUCUUUGUCUUUAGGUCUAAGCAAUAAACACAACCAAACCAUAAGAUACAUAUUUGAUUUCCAAAACGAAGUGUCCGUACGUCGCAUAAAUAUUAAUAGGCACGCAGACAUAUACCCGUAGGACUUAGCUUUGUCCUUACAGGGCAGAUGCGAAGGAUGAUUUUAUGUUUCUAUUACCUAAAAACAAAGCAGGGAACUCGUUGCCAAAUUACACUGACUAGAAAAUAGCGUUGUCAAUUAAGGUAAGGCUCAUUGCUACAAUUAGUAGUUCAGUAUAUGAAAAUAUUAGACUCGCAGAAAACAAUUAGGAUAGUUAUAUGCCUGGUCUUGGAUUUAAUUUGAUUAAUUCGACAAUGUUUAAUUACUAGUUAAAAGUAUCGCAACAGUCAAAGGAGUCAUCAGCUAUAUAACUUGCUUAAAAGGUAAAAGAGAUUAAGUUAAUGGCUCUCUUUUUAGUGGUAAUCGCAAGAAAAGAUGGCUAUAAUUUAAAAAAGAAAACGUAUCGUCUCAAUCUAUGCUUUCGGACCCUGCAUACACUAAAAAAGAGUUGUACCAACUCCUGUCUCAAUAAACGUUUGACUUACGAGUAGAAGAUUUGCAAAAAAUUGACGACGACGGUGAUU